UUCUGUCUCACACAAGGAAUGACUAACGAUGCUCUAUGGUAUUUUCUUGGUUUUCUACUACAUUUUAGUUUAGUUUUUGUAAGAUUCUAUACAUCUCUGAUCUGAAGUAAUUUAAUGCUUUAUUCAUUAACUAGUGUCCAUUUAGAAGUACUGGAAUGAGCUUGUGUUACUCUAUAAUACACUUAGAUGAAUUCAAGAAAGCUCUAAUCUCGACUGGUUUUGGAUGAGCACCGCAAAAUGUGAAAUAAAUGGCUGUAACCAGUACUUUUUUAGAUAUUAUAGUCUUUUUCGUGGUUUUGAGAUCUCAAAAGAUGCAAGUCUGUUGAAGGAGACAAAACAUUGUGAGUGGGCCAAACCACUAAUUUACAAGUUUAUUGGACUCUUAGGUGAGUUCUUGAGAUAUCAAAAUGAAGUUUCUGUUGCUAGCAUGUUUCAAGUAACAUUUGUUUAAUAUGAUAUUUUUCAAUUAAACUUGUGAAAUAAUGAAGUUUAAUUAUUGUGGUUGUGAUGGUGGAAAGCCAGUCAAUAAAUAUUUUCAUCGACUAAUGAAUUUUAACAUUGUUUUUGAGGACCAAUAAUAAAAUAUUAAAUCAGUCUUAUGUAGGGGCGUGGUUUUGAGAGUGACCCGGUCUCAAAUUUGGUUGUUGGCUUGACAUUUUGCAAUCUCUGGUAUUCUGGACUUCCAUAGGAGCUACACUGGACAGAGUUGGACACAUUUGAUGAGUCCAAGCAAUCGAAAAUGCCUGCAGAUGGAAUUUACGAGGGGUAUGAUGCUUUCAAAGCUGGAGGAGCCAAAUAUUCCUUAGAGUGUUAUUUGAACACCUCUUUCGCCUAUGACAAAGAAGUGUUAGGAGAGGAUGGUAACACCCGAAAGAUUCCCUGGAUAUUGAUGCUAAUAAACUGAAAAAAUCUGCUCGCCGUCAUUUUCAGCCACUAGAUUUCUACGUGAAUUCUGCCGAGGAAAGUGGACAUGAAAAAUAUUUCUUCUCUAAUAGUAGUGGUGAUCUGCCUCGUGUCUAUUUUUGACACUCAUGGUCUUCCCCAAUGGAUACUGCCUAUGCAUUCGCCAAAUUCUCGUGAAAGUUUUGAGGAUUUGAUGAAUAAGCACAAGAAAUUUCAUAAUGACUACUAUACGAGUGCGUUGAAGCACUUGCAUGUUUCCCUUAACUCGAAAGUGCGAGUAAUUGAGGCUUUUCAUCCUUUAAUACAGCUACUGCAGUUAUAAUGCUUUGUAUGGCAAUUGUAUGUCAUAUUCAUCAAAUACUUAUUUGUUUUGAAAAUGAGUAGAAUUCUGUUUUGCUUUUAAACUCCAGCUAUCAUUUCUUAUACAGCAAUGCAUACACCUAUUGUUUAAGACAAUAUUUAAUGAAUACAUGUGGUCCCUUGCUAACAUUUUAAACUUUUAGAUGAGAUGAUUAACAAUAUUAUUAACAAGCUAAGUCCUUUACCACCUAAACUUGAUGUCAGCUACGUUAAUCUUUUACACCACUUCUUUUGUUUUAAUGCUGCAUUUGGAUGAAUUAUAACCAAUUGUAUACAUACAAGGUUAUUGCUAAUUCAGAAAUAGUUGUACUUUUGCGUAAUUAUUUUUGAAGCAGCAGAGUUUUCUAGUCAUCUAGAAAGUAACAAAGCUACAGAGUCUUUAACCUUGCAUAGUAUAAUUACUGGGUAGGUUUUCAUUAGAAAACAAUGCAAAAAGAAAGUAAGAUGUGAAUGAAAAGAUCAACAGUUGCAGUUAUGUUUUGUCAUAACAAUUAGCAGCACAGCCCCUACAAUUUAUUGAUCGAGUACUUGUUUUCCAAUUCAAGCUGUCAAUUCUUUUUUCUUUUUAAUUACAAUAGUUUCUGGAUUUGUCUAAAACACAACCUCCGAAUUUCCAUCUUUGUUAUUUUGGCAGAUGCUGCUUCUUGGAGAUCGGGUUAACGAGGCCAUUGAUGAACUUGAAAAAUCAUUUAAAAUUUCAGAUACAGUACUCCAGUUAAGAUUGAAAGCUGCUCUCUUAGAGCAUUUUAAUGGCAUAUACAAUGUGAAACUCUGUACAUGCUUUGAGGACAUCUUAAAGAAGGAUCUAACAUGCAGCAACUUGUUGGCUAGACUUGUAGUCAUGCAUCAACGAGGGGAUUACAACACUAAAAAACUUGCAGAAAUGAUAGCCUUACACUUUGAUGCUACAUAUGCAAAAUCUGACACAGGUGGAAGGAAUUAGCAUCUUGCUUCUUGAGACUUCAUCUGUGUGGAGAUGAUAGAAUGUCAUGUUCUAAUGGAAAAGACGGGCACAAUCAAGCUUCCUCCUGUCAUUCUAACCAGAUUCUUGAUAUAUCUACUAACAGUGCAUAUGGGAAAAACUGGAGGCUCCGUUGCAUAUGGUGGCUUAAUCGCCAUUUCAGCCACAGCAUUUUCCUGUCGGAUAUUGCAACUGGUGAUUUGGAGCUUUUAACUUACAAAGCUGCAACAACUUCACAUCUCUACGGAUGGGAGUUCAAAUUUGUUAUUAAGGCUGCUGAGUAUUUGGAGAAGGAAAAUAUAAUGGAACUCUAUUCUUACCUGCAGAUGCGCAUUAUGAAUUCUGUUGGUUUUUAUUUCAAUAUGAAGAGAGAUAAUUCCUAGUAAGAAAGAUUGCUCUCUGUGUCGACCGUUGCCUGUAACUUGUAUUUUGGUGGAGGUCAAGUUCCCAUGGAAUUAUUGUACAAGUUUCUUUGGGACAUCAGAGGACUAGAAGCCUAAGUUUUUGUUAAUGUUAGCUCGAAAACCUGCGCUAAAGUACUUUUGAAUGUGUAUUUUAUACUAGCAGUCAA